AACGGGAAAACUGGGUAGGCAGCAAGCAUGGAUACAGCAGUCUUCAAACAGAGGAAGUUUCUUGUUAGCUCUUCACCUGUAUAGUUAGCCACUGAACUUUGCAUCCAGUGCCUGACUAAACGUUUCUUUUUUUCUUUAAACCUAGGUUACCCUUCCCAAUGACUCCAGCUGUGUGGAAGAAAUAUUGCGGGAGAUGACCCAUUCCUGGCCUCCUCCUCUUACCGCUAUUCACACUCCUGGCAAGGCUGAGCAGACCAAGUUUUCUAUCCCAAGCAAGGACUCCCAACAUCUGACCUCAGGAUACAAUGUACAAAAGUGGAGCGAUCCAGCAGGGAAAGUUGCAACUAAGUCAGUGCCACAAAAGUCGUAA
rnacentral:lncRNA from 1 species